UACGUAGGGGGGCGAGCGUUAUCCGGAAUUACUGGGCGUAAAGCGCACGCAGGCGGUUCGCCAAGUUUGGAGUGACAGUUGUCGGCUCAACCGACAAAGGACUUCAAAAACUGGUGAACUUGAGGACGAGAGAGGAACAUGGAACUCCAGGUGUAGUAGUGAAAAUGCGUAGAUAUCUGGAGGAACACCGAUGGCGAAGGCAGGUCUCUGGGCCACUACUGACGCUGGAGAAGCGAAAGCUAGGGGAG
rnacentral:rRNA from 1 species